rnacentral:lncRNA from 10 species
GCCGAGCAUUGUGCUCACUUUAAACAAGACAUAACGAAAGAAAUUCCUUUGUUUAUCACAUAUUGAAAGGGUCCAUUCGGAGACAAGAGGCAAUGCAUGGAUAAUUGACACACAUAUAUUUAUUAUUUUUAUUUUUUUGAGAUGGACGGAAUCUUGCUCUGUUGCCCAGGCUGAAGUGCAGUGGCACGAUCUUGGCUCACUGCAACCUCCGCCUCCCAGGUUCAAAGUGAUUCUCCUGUCUCAGCCUCCCGAGUAGCUGGGAUUACAGGCACUUGCCACCACACUUGGCUAACUUUUGUAUUUUUAGUAGAGUUGGGGUUUCGCCAUGUUGGCCAGACUGGUCUCGAACCCCUGACCUCAAGUGAUCCGCCCGCCUCGGCCUCCCAAAGUGCUGGGAUUACAGGCAUGAGUCACCAUGCCCGGCCUAAUUAUUAUUAUUAUUCUCUUUGAGACGGAAUUUCACUUUUGUUGCCCAGGCUGGAGUGCAAUGGCGCCAUCUUGGCUCACUGCAACCUCUGCCUCCAGGUUCAAGCGAUUCUCCUGCCUCAGCCUCCCAAAUAGCUAGGAUUACAGGCAUGCGCCACCACACCUAAUUUCGUAUUUUUAGUGGAAAUGGGGUUUCUCCAUGUUGGUCAGGCUGGUCUUGAACUCCUGAUCACAGGUGAUCUGCCCGCCUUGGCUUCCCAAAGUGCUGGCGUUACAGGCGUGAGCCACCUUGCCCGGCCUAAUUUUUGAAUUUUUAGUAGAGAUGGGGUUUGACCAUAUGGGUCAGGCUGGUCUCGAACUCCUGAGGCAGGAAAAUCACUUGAACCCGGGAGACAGCAGCUCUGGGAGCUGAAUGGGCCCAUUCCAGGGGCUGAGGUUUCAUCAACCAAACGGUGCAGCUCUUUAGAGGAACUCAACCAGAAGGGGUGAGAAACGGGAUUGUGGGGGAUGAGAAGAAGGAACAGGGGCCCCCUGGACACAGAAGCCAAGCGACUGGCUCGGUAAUUUUGAGUAAACCCCUCUGAGCCUCAAUUUCCCUAUCUGUCACAAGACAUAAGAUCACCAUCCUCAGGUUGCCAAAGAGACACAACAGGCUCAGCUGGGCGCAGUGGCUCCUGCCCGUAAUCCAAGCACUUUGGGGGACCAAGGUGGGAGGAUCGCUGCAGCCCAAGAGUUUGAAAACAGCCUGGGCAACAUGUCUCUAUUUAUUUAAAAAAAUAAUAAUAAAGAGACAUAACAGGCUCUCCAUGAUGUCCCCCAUCACAGGUGAACAAAUCCACCAUCAAGGCUUUAGAGGUCCCUAGAGCCCCUGCUGUGAGGGGCCAAGGAGCUGACCCAUCAUUUGCAGUCACCCAGAAGGCCCAGAAGGGCUCUAAAGGCACUGGGGGCCAGAGGAGAACGACAGGGUCCCCCACGAACCCUCGCAAACAAGUCCUCCACCAGCCCCA